UACGGAGGGGGCUAGCGUUGUUCGGAAUUACUGGGCGUAAAGCGCACGUAGGCGGCUUUGUAAGUUAGAGGUGAAAGCCCGGAGCUCAACUUCGGAAUUGCCUUUAAGACUGCAUCGCUUGAAUCGUGGAGAGGUGAGUGGAAUUCCGAGUGUAGAGGUGAAAUUCGUAGAUAUUCGGAAGAACACCAGUGGCGAAGGCGGCUCACUGGACCGGCAUUGACGCUGAGGCACGAAAGCGUGGGGAGCAAACGGG
rnacentral:rRNA from 1 species